rnacentral:rRNA from 1 species
AACGAACGCUGGCGGCAUGCCUAACACAUGCAAGUCGAACGGACCCUUCGGGGUUAGUGGCGGACGGGUGAGUAACACGUGGGAACGUGCCUUUAGGUUCGGAAUAGCUCCUGGAAACGGGUGGUAAUGCCGAAUGUGCCCUUCGGGGGAAAGAUUUAUCGCCUUUAGAGCGGCCCGCGUCUGAUUAGCUAGUUGGUGAGGUAAUGGCUCACCAAGGCGACGAUCAGUAGCUGGUCUGAGAGGAUGACCAGCCACAUUGGGACUGAGACACGGCCCAAACUCCUACGGGAGGCAGCAGUGGGGAAUCUUGCGCAAUGGGCGAAAGCCUGACGCAGCCAUGCCGCGUGGAUGAUGAAGGUCUUAGGAUUGUAAAAUCCUUUCACCGGUGAAGAUAAUGACUGUAGCCGGAGAAGAAGCCCCGGCUAACUUCGUGCCAGCAGCCGCAGUAACAC